CCUACGGGGGGCAGCAGUGAGGAAUAUUGGUCAAUGGGCGGAAGCCUGAACCAGCCAAGUAGCGUGAAGGAUGACGGCCCUAUGGGUUGUAAACUGCUUUUAUACGGGAAUAAAGUGCCUUACGUGUACGGCUUUGCAUGUACCUUAUGAAUAAGGACCGGCUAAUUCCGUGCCAGCAGCCGCGGUAAUACGGAAGGUCCGGGCGUUAUCCGGAUUUAUUGGGUUUAAAGGGAGCGUAGGCGGCAUGUCAAGCGUGCUGUGAAAUGCCCGGGCUCAACCCGGGCAGUGCGGCGCGAACUGGCGUGCUUGAGUGCGCGGAACGCAGGCGGAAUGUGUGGUGUAGCGGUGAAAUGCUUAGAUAUGACGAAGAACCCCGAUUGCGAAGGCAGCUUGCGGCAGCGCGACUGACGCUGAUGCUCGAAAGCGCGGGUAUCGAACAGGAUUAGAUACCCCUGUAGUC
rnacentral:rRNA from 1 species